rnacentral:lncRNA from 1 species
AGGCCGCCGGGGCCUCGCGCCUCACAAACUCCUCACAAACUCCUCCCUGUAUGGUUGCCCUGGAUUGGCGUGACCAGUGCCGCCCACACCGCGUGUCCUCAUCACGGCCACCCCGCUGACCUGCCCCACCUACAGCGCAGCACACCGCAACCUGGCAACCGCCUCCGCCCGCAAGGGCCGUCGAGUAAUGGCGCCUCCUCGCCUCCCGGGCGCCAACGGAAAGUGGGAAGCGCUCGCCCAAUCAGAGCCAGCCAGCCACCCAGGCCACGCCCCUUACCCGCAGACACUUUAGGCUGUGGGCGCACACGCAGCGCUUCUGGGAAGGGUCGGUCGGUUGCCCCACUUCCGAUGACCCCUGCCCUGUCCACGAUGGGUCAGCCGGAAGUGAUGGAAAGCAGUCUGUAGGGCUCUCCAGCUGCUUUCCUAUUCUGAGCCCCGCCCAGAGUGGUGAUGCUGCGCUGGGGAACCGCCUGCCAGCAGGGGGCGCUGUGCCGUGCCAGUUCCACCUAGGGAGGAAACAUGGCGGUUAGGAGAACCUGCAGUCACUGUGGGACUCCACCACCCCUCAACUAGGCAAUCCUCAUGCCCAGGCCAUAGGGGAGUGCUGUGGCGCCUCCAUUUUCCCUGUGCCCUAAAUUUAUAACAUGGUGGCCCCGUCUUUUGACAAAUUUCACCAUCAUGCACGAUGCUGCCUGCUUUGCAUUGCCGUGACAGACAAUAACUGCUUUAUUCAACCCUUCGGUUAUCCUAUGAUCUAGUGGAAACUCCAUGGCUUCACGUGAAGAGAGUUAAAUAUUGAUAUAGGUGGUGCCAAAUCAAAGUUUAAAAUGGUAUUUAUUAUUAGUAUCUUUAUUUUUUAUCUAAAAAGGCAAUGGUUGUUUAAAAAUACAUAAAGCAGAUGAUUUUGCUAGUGUGCCCCUCAGUUGUGGUUGGUAUGCAUCCUUAGCUGUUCCUGGGGCAUGAGAUCUAAUGUCUACUUACCCCACAUAGAGCUCCAAUGACAGCCCAAAGGCAGGGUUCCACCCAUGUCUAGCUUAAAUAACAGACCUUGCCCGGCUUCCUUACAGGAUGCAAGUGACAUCGAAGCGGCCGUAUCACCGGAUAACCUAAGCCCAGCAUGGAUGAUUAAUGAUGGCUUCCCCAUAGUUGUACCAGCAGAGAUGCUACACUCCCUGAGGCACCCUUCCACCCCUUAUAUACCCUAGCAGCACCCAAGCCGACGAGCCAAGUGCAAUUACCGCAGAAUUACAUCUAGCUGGAGAGGGAGAGAAUCAGCUGACAGCCCAGUGACCACUGCACCCAAUUCUUUGAAGGAAUGUCAAUAGUCAACAGGUCAAUGUUUCUCAAGUCAUAACAAUAGUAACAGCUGCUCUCAUGAAGAUGACAGCUGUGAUGCUCAGUGGCCAGCACCCCUUUCUGAUUUAAUUAUGCUUUGGAAUGUGCUUGAAAAAAGUGUGUGUGUAUGUUUGUGUGUGUGUGUUCAAAUCACAGAAUAAAACCUACAGCGUUUCUACCUUUGGCUUAGCUAGAAUUACAAACAUCAUUCCAACUUUGUGCCUUGUUAAACUGAAUUUUGAACCCACUCCUCACUGAACUGAGAGUCUCAUGCAUGCCAGACAAGUGGUCUACCAUUGAUUUAUAUUUCCAGCUUUCUUUAUACUUUCUGAGACAGGAUCUAAGGUGCUCAGGUGGGCAACUUGAACUUGAGAUCCUCCUGCCUCAGUUUCCUGAAUGGCUGGAAUUACAGGUCCAAGGAGAUCCUAAUUAAAACAAAACAAAAAAAAUGUAAAACAACCUGAACAGUUGACAGGCUUUUAGAGGGUGUUUCAGAUAAUUAGUUUUCAAUGAUUUUUUUGAAUGACUUAAGUACUAACAGUAUAUAAUACAACAUGUAAGAUCAGAGUGUGUCAACCUCAUCACCAGAGACUUACAUCAUCAUCUUCACACUGGGCUUUCUUGUAAUAGACUUACCAUCCUCCAUGAUGCAAUCUAGUGAUUUCUCAACUAGCUGCUUGUUAUAGAG